UUUUUCUAUUUUCAUUUCAACUUCUCAGAUCCAAAUCGGGAGAGCUGCUAGAAGAGAUUUUUUUUCUUGGGUUUUUAUCGACGAACGGGAGAUUAGUUAUUUCGAUUUUGUUUGUUUAACCGAGAUUUGGUUAGUUUUAAUGUUGUCUUAUUUUAUUUGAAGCUAUUUAGAUCUUUAUUUUUAAUGUAAUGGAGAAAUUCAACUGAGAUACGUAUUUGAAGUUAUUGUUACCUACAGAUGAAGACAAUCAACAAAGAAUCAAUCAAGGUUCAAUAUGUCCAAAGGAUACAUACUCUAUGUGUAAGCAGUGCGGCAGAUAUAUACCCAUAUUUGCAAGUAGUAUAGCAGAUAUGUACUCAGAUUUGUAAGCAGUUUAACAGAUAUGUACUCAAAUUUGUAAGCAGUAUGGAAGAUAUGUACUCAAAUUUGUAAACAAUGUAGCAGAUAUGUACUCAAAUUUGUGGUCUUUUAUAUGUUUUAAUUAAAUUUGGACCUCCAGAUAAAUAAAAUCCCGAUUUGGUA